UACGUAGGGUGCAAGCGUUGUCCGGAAUUAUUGGGCGUAAAGAGCUCGUAGGCGGUCUGCCGCGUCUGCUGUGAAAACUCGGGGCUUAACCCCGGGCCUGCAGUGGGUACGGGCAGACUAGAGUGCGGUAGGGGAGACUGGAAUUCCUGGUGUAGCGGUGAAAUGCGCAGAUAUCAGGAGGAACACCGGUGGCGAAGGCGGGUCUCUGGGCCGUAACUGACGCUGAGGAGCGAAAGCAUGGGGAGCGAACAGG
rnacentral:rRNA from 1 species